GUAGUCCACGCCCUAAACGAUGGAUACUAGAUGUAGGCGGUAUCGACUCCGCCUGCGUCGUCGCAAACGCAAUAAGUAUCCCGCCUGGGGAGUACGAUCGCAAGGUUGAAACUCAAAGGAAUUGACGGGGACCCGCACAAGCAGCGGAGCAUGUGGUUUAAUUCGAAGCAACGCGAAGAACCUUACCAAGACUUGACAUCGCAUGACAGCCGGAGAAAUCCGGUCUUCCUUCGGGACAUGCAGACAGAUGGUGCAUGGUUGUCGUCAGCUCGUGUCGUGAGAUGUUCGGUUAAGUCCGGCAACGAGCGCAACCCUUAUAACUAGUUGCCAAUAUUAAGUUAGGAACUCUAGUUAGACUGCCAUGGAUAACAUGGA
rnacentral:rRNA from 1 species